CGCGCCGCGAGCCGCCGCGCGCCGCAUCGCCAUCGCCAUCGCCCGUCGCCAUCGCCCGUCGCGUCGCCCUUGAGCCCCGCGCCUCACCCCACACAGAAGUCGCGCGUGCGCUGUCCCAUCGCUGUGCCCCGCGCCGUGCGCCGCGCGAACGUCCUGUCGCCGCGCCAUGCCAUGUGCGCCUAUGCCCUAACCGCCUCUAGCCCAGCAUCUAGCCGUAUUGGCCAUGAUCUGGCGGCCUUACCCUCCCCGCCAUCCUUCUCUCCGCCUUUUUCCACGAAUACAUUUCGUCGAACACCUUGGGCGCGUGCUGCAGCUUCUUCUCCGCUCCACCACCACCGCCGAACUUCGUCAUCCCGCCGUCUCUCGGAAUUACGUGUGCAUGUGGUUGGAGUGGUUUCAUCUUGAUUCUUAUCUAGAAAGGCCCAUGCAGAUGGAUUCAAUGAUGACGCGAGCGAUCGGACGGCUCUGCCAGCGUCGCGCGAUAGCGCUAAAUCGAGAAGACUCUCGAAUUAGAUUUUACGAUAAUAUUAUUAACAUUCUAUAAUUUAUAGUGAUAAGCAAAGUAUGAUCGUGACUAAAAUAAUAACUCCAUUAAUAAAAUAAUACUAAUGAUUCACUGUGAUUAUUUGAUUGAUACUAAAUCCAUCCGACAACA